GAGUUUGACACCCCUGUACUAGACCUUUGUGGUAGUAUGUCAUUAUGAACAAGGGAUGGGGCUUGGUGCGUCCUCUUGUUGUGUUUUAGCAGUUAAGCCUUGUUCAGCAUACUAGUGGCCAUGAUCUUGCGUGGUGCGCUACCAUGCAUUUUUCAACAUGGUAAAUCUCUCUCGCAGGUGUAACUGCACAUCCAGGGGUUUCCAGUAACUUGGUUGGAGACAAAUGUGCAUCAGUGAUGUGACUGCACUGCUGCUUUGUUUUUAGUGUUUGGGUGACCGUUUUAACUUUGUCUGUCUUGGUCUUAUUUUGGUUAACUUGGUUUGUAUGGGUUUUCUUUUAUUCAUCCAUGAGCAGCCAUUCAUUAACAUGCGUGUGUGUGUGUUAGCAGGGAGACAAGAUAUUUGGCCUUGGUCAGCCAUUUUUUCUCUCUCGUUGGUGCAGACGACUGCUCAUUUUUAUGUUUUCUUUUUUGUUUUUUUCUUUGUACAAGUAGUUGUCGAAUCUGUGUAUGUGGACUCCUUUUGGAGUAGAUUGUUCUGUUGUGGUAUGAAAGUGAGUUUUGUAUUUUUGACUGUCUUGAAGUUUGUACCAGUUUACCAUGUUAUCAUAUAGGAGUAGAAACUUUUUAAAGCUGGGGUUGCAGUCUUUUAGCGUGUCCACAUGGAGUGCGGUGCUUAACCAAUUGUAUUGCUUUCACAACUGUGGUGUGAGUUGAAAAUCCAAAAGGACCCCGCUGGCCAUUUCUCUCCUACUGGUCAUUCAUGUAUUUUUGUCUAAUUUUAGUUUAAAAAUAAAUUCAGAAGCAA